CUUAGCUUGGGAGACGGCAGAGUGGGGAGCUGUCCCUGGAGGGGCCAGAUCCUGGAGGGGUGGGGGGCGAGGAGAGACAGCCCCAAACCGAGAGGAAGAGGCGUGGCAGGGAGCAGGGAGGCCGCGGGGCGGGGAGGAGAGAACCUGGCCCCUGCGGGGUUAGGGAGGCCACUGGCCGGGAGGGGUUGGGGCUCGCGACGUGUCCGCAUCCAUUCCCCCCACCCCACCUGGCUGACUCCGCGCACACCCCCAGCCCUGGGUCACCUUCCUGCAGCCCCUCUCGUGGGCCGUCCCACCUGCGCCCCCGCAGCCAGGCCGCGUGAAGGAAGACCUGCUGGAACUGAUGAUGCUGCAGAACGCGCAGAUGCACCAGCUGCUGCUGAGUCGCCUGGUGGCUGGAGCGCUGCAGCCCCGGCCUGCCUCGCCCUGCCCUCAGGAGAGCUGUGCCCCCACCCCCACCCCCCAGUGCCACAGGGACUGUGGGUGCUGAUGUACCCCCGGCUUCAGACUACUAUGAUGCCGAGAGCCUCCUAUGAGGACAGACCCUGGCCCUGGGAACUGCACCAGCUUCCUGCUCUGGAUACAGCCCCGGAGCUGCCUCCUGCACCUCUCUUGUCGACUCCCCGGUGCCCAUGGCUGGCAGUCCUUCUCACUCCCUCAACCUCAGCCAGGCCCUCUUCUCCUGGGGAAAUCAGUCCCUGCCCCACGCCAAUGAGUUCCUGGACGGGCCGGAUCUGUGCUGUGGUGUAAGAGCUCCUUAGAGCACCACCCAGGCCCUUGAAGCCACGUCAGCCCGCCUCUGCCCCACUGCUUCCUGCCUGGAGCAGGGGGAGGCCUGGGAACAGAGCCCCCAUCCUCUCUCCCUCACCCCUCUCUCUGGGAUGAUGAGAUCUCCUUCCAGCCUAGUAAUGGAGCAAGGGGGGGCGGGAUUCCUUCUGCUUUCCACAGCUUUGAAGGCCCCUUUGAGGUGGCUGGAGGGGCCCAGAGUGGUCGGGGAGAGACUUUGCUGGGCAGCGCCCCUGAGCAGAGUCAGUUCGCUGGGCCCCCCACCCCUCAUCCCAGGAAGCAGCUCUGUUGGCAGAAAGGAGAGGUCAGAGCUUUGUCCUGCUGUGGCCAGGAGUGGCCUGAGGUCUCCUGGGGCCAGGUGGGAACAGUGUGUCCUCUGCCCCCUGGGCCAGGGUGUGUUUUCCCCACCCUCACUCAGUAGCAAUGAGCUACUCAGGCCAGAUGGGGGCCUGUUGCAUGGGCUGGGAGGCCCCUGUGAAGCAGAGGGUGGGGAGGGAGGCAUCUAGGGAGAGGGGUCCCCCAUGGUGGCUCCCCUCCCUGGCCAUUGUUAUCCCAGGAGGAGACACUGUGGGCACAGGGCUAAGUCCAGGUGUUUGUAUUCGGGCUAGAAAAGGCAAUGUCCCAAGUCUCUGCUGCCUGUCACAGUCCUUCAGCCAGGGCUGGACCUCAACCCUGAGGAGUCACACUGAGUUCCAGUGACCACCGUGGUGGUGGCCAUGCCACUCAUGCUUGCUAUGGCCGGAAGGCCUGGGGCAGCCUCCUCCAAGCCGCUCGCACCCCGUAGGUGCCCAUCCGCUGCUGGCGCAAGUGCUGGCCGAAGAUGAAGCAGAGCAGGACAGAUGUCACGAACAGGGACAGCAACACCGACACCACCGUGACUAUGAUGACCAUCUGGCUGUCCGACACAGGCUCUGGGGAGGGAGGGGGCAAGGGUCUUAGACGUCCUGUGAUCCCAGUUACCAGAGACCAAAAGGGAGUGGAAGUCCACCCCCAACCCAGACCCCCAGCCCCCGCCGCCCGCUCAUGCAUCCAGCAGUCACCCCAGUUGCAGAGAUGAAUGGUGAAUGGUGUCUGCAUUAAAAUUAUUAUCUGGAAAAAAGGUGGCCCAGGGCUCAGGCUACCAGCUGGACUUCUGUGUGGCUGUGAGGGCAGAUGUCCCCUUGUCAGCAGCCAUGGGACCAGUGUGUAGCUGCUGGACACCGUGGCCUGGAGGGUGGCAUGGUCCCAGCCAAGCCCCUUCUUGGGCAGAGCUGAGUGAACUUCAUGCCAAGCUCCCUGUGUGCCGGCCGUCCAGAGUCACCAAGCAGCAGAGCUCUGGGGACCUCAGUGGGGGCAGUCAGGCCAAACUUCUCAUUGUGGAGGGGAGCCAAGGCCAGGGAGAGCAGUCAACGUCAUGGGGCUUGAUGGUGGCCGAGGAACAGUUGACCUCUCCCGACCUCUGGAGCAGUUGAGGUCCAAGCUGGGGACUUGGAAAGAACUUCAGGGAAGAGGGAGAGUAAGAGGGAAGCCUCAGGGUGAAGGGUGGGCUCCUGGGUGUUUGCUUCCCAAGUGGGACUCGAGAUUUUUCUUCCCCCGAGGGGCUGAAAGUGACUUCUCACUCCCAACUCCAUCCACGGAUCUCCCCUCACCAUAGAUCUCCAACAUCUUCGGGGCUGAGUGUUUGUGAAAGAUGUUGCCACCGCGAGACAUCAAGUCCAGCACAGCCAGGCAGGAGAAGUUGCGGUGGCCAUCGUCUCUGUCAGCCGUGCUGUUGAAUGUGACUGUGGCCUCCUGCGGAGCAGGGGCUGCCUUCCCGAAGGUCUCAUAGUGCAGAGUCUCAUUGCCACGGAACAGGAAGAGGGUGAGGCUGUCCAGGGGCUCCACGGUGGGCACCCUGCACUCAAUGGUGAAGGACUUGCCCACAGCCACCAAAGUGGGUUGCAGUGUCAGGAUGACCUGCCUUGGAGGCUCUGCAGGGGACAAAGGAGGGAGGUCUGGUCAGGAUGGGGGUGCAGUCCCAGCAGCCUCCCCCUGGCCAGGGCCAUCUCCUGUCACCAUGGUGUUCCAUGGUUGGGGAGGAAGUGGCCUGGCCGGCUCCAGUGCGGAGAGGAAGAGGGCGGCAGUUGAGGAUGGAGGCUGGACUGUGUGGUAGUUUUACAGACAUGAUGGUUUCUGGUGACCAGGUGUCUACAAGGACAAGGUUCAGAAAUUGUACAGCCAACUGGAAAGAUAUAAAAGUUUGGGUCUGUCUCCUCUCCUUCAGAAAUGAAAUAUAAAUUUCAAACAUUAAA
rnacentral:sRNA from 1 species